UCAGUGGGUAUUAAUUUCUAUUGAGAUGAGAAUUAGAUUCAAGAGAUAAUCUAUAAUGGCUUAUCUGUACCAAUUAGCCAUUGUGGAAUUGUAAUCGAUGCUAAAGAGAAUUUAUAUUGAGACUAAAUCUAAUUUUAUAUUUUCUUUGUACUACCCGAGUCCGAUUCAAUUUUCUCAAUUAAUCUAUCAAGUUUGAGCUCUAAAAGUGUAGCUCAAUUUAGUUUUAUUAGAGUUAUAGAGACGAGUCGAGUUCGACUUUGACAGUAUGUGGUCUCAACUUAUCUCGAUUGUAUCCAUGAUUUCAGUUUCUAUGUGUGCUAUAUUAGUUUGGCCAUUUCACCUAUGGCUAUUGUGAAGCUUGCAUUUUUUUCGCGUAUGUGGAGCUUGCUUGAAGAUCAGCACUCUGUUGUGUGUUUUAUGGCGUUUAUGAGAGGAGAGCCGUUAGUGGCGAAGCUGGCUACAGUCGCCAAGUACGUUGUAUUACCAGGAACUAUGGUGGCGGCCCUGAUAUAUUCUCCACCUCGAUAUGGUUCCUCAUCCAAAGACAACAAAUCCCCUAAAUGAGACCCAAUCCGAAUCCUCCUUCCUUGCUCUCGGGGCAGCUUUGAUGUGAUUUCGCAUGUAAUAAUGCUCGACUCAGGCAGGACCUUGUCUUUCGGUUUCCUUGAGUAGCUGUUUGCUGGUGAAAGUAUGCUAUUGUUAUUUUCUUUUGCUAGAACUUUGAGCUGUAUAUUUUUCUUCUCAUAACUUGCUCACUCACUGUACUACAUCAAUGCUCUGCCCUCAUUAAUCAUAUGGCUUAGUUUUUGGAAUACAA